GACGGAGGGCGCUAGCGUUGUUCGGAAUCACUGGGCGUAAAGGGCGCGUAGGCGGCCAUGUAAGUCGGGGGUGAAAGCCCGGGGCUCAACCCCGGAACGGCCUUCGAGACUGCGUGGCUGGAGACCGGAAGAGGAGGGUGGAAUACCCAGUGUAGAGGUGAAAUUCGUAGAUAUUGGGUGGAACACCAGUGGCGAAAGCGGCUCUCUGGUCCGGUUCUGACGCUGAGGCGCGAAAGCGUGGGGAGCAAACAGG
rnacentral:rRNA from 1 species